UACAGAGGUGGCAAGCGUUGUUCGGAAUUACUGGGCGUAAAGGGCGCGUAGGCGGUCUUGUCAGUCCCUUGUGAAAUCCCCCGGCUCAACUGGGGAACUGCAAGGGAAACAGCAGGGCUUGAGUUCGGGAGAGGGAAGCGGAAUUCCAGGUGUAGCGGUGAAAUGCGUAGAUAUCUGGAGGAACACCGGUGGCGAAGGCGGCGUCCUGGACCAAUACUGACACUGAGGAGCGAAAGCCAGGGGAGCAAACGGG
rnacentral:rRNA from 1 species